CGAAUGUGGAGUGUUCUCUAUGGCUAAUUCAUGCUUCAUACAACCUUGCGAUACCAAUCAUUGCAAGUUAUUUGGAAACCUGAUGAUCCUCAUUGAUAAU